GCCCGGCUAGCUCAAUCGGUAGAGCGUGAGACUCUUAAGAAUCUCCGAACAUCUCAAGGUUGUGGGUUCGACCCCCACGUCGGGCU